GCCGGAGUAGCUCAACGGUAGAGCAACGCUUUUGUAAAGCGUAGGUUGGGGGUUCGAUUCCUCUCUCCGGCUCCA
rnacentral:tRNA from 1 species